UAAAUGGGGCCACGACGCGAACGCCCCGUGAGGCUUUGGCCAAAGGUUCGCAUCCCCUGACCCUCAGAUAAGGAUGCAAAAUG
rnacentral:ncRNA from 1 species